rnacentral:tRNA from 1 species
UAGGACGUAGCUAAAAAGGAAAGCAUCUCCCUUACACUGAGAAGACACACGUGCAAAUCGAGUCGUCCUAA